ACGCAAAGCCCAUUCACUGUGACAGACUCGCAGGAGAGAGAUAUAAUCAAUCAUCAAGGUUCCAAGAAUGAAGAAGCUUGCGAAGAGCCACAGCCACGGUGAAAGAAACAAAUCAACAACAGAUCAGCAGAGUGACAAGAAAUCAGCAACUGGCAUGAACGGAUCACCCAAAAAGAAAGGACACGGAGGCAAGUACACGUGGUCAGGCGACGGUUACUCGCAGGCUGAGAUCGGCUUCGACGAAGCCAUCGAUGCUAAUGAUCCUAACUUUGAAGGUCCUGAAGAUCAGAAGGAGACCGUCGCCGUUUGAUUUUGUUUUUGAUUCUGAUGAUUUACUAGUUUAUGAUCGUCGCUGUUUAAUAUUUUAUUUAAUUUUUGCUCUUUCAAAAAGAUGAGAUGAGAUUUAGAUGUACAUACCUUGUGAUUUCGUCUUUCAAUAAAAUCCAUACGUCUUUCUUCUGCAAUUAAUCGGCUAAUGUCAGAUUUAGAUUCAACUUUUCUCUAAUUGUAGAUAUACAAUUGCGUUACAUUAUGUUGAUAUAUGAGGGACUAUGAUAAUGAAACUAUAAUAAACAAUAGGUGAAUAAGGCAAAACAUGUUAUCUUACCACCCCAGCAGAAGCCCACAGCCCCAGUUGCANNN
rnacentral:lncRNA from 1 species